rnacentral:rRNA from 1 species
GAUGAACGCUAGCGGCAGGCUUAAUACAUGCAAGUCGAGGGGCAGCAUGGUGUAGCAAUACACUGAUGGCGACCGGCAAACGGGUGCGGAACACGUACAGAACCUUCCUUCGAGCGGGGAAUAGCCCAGAGAAAUUUGGAUUAAUACCCCAUAGUAUAUUGGAGUGGCAUCACUUUGAUAUUAAAGCUUUAUCACUUGAAGAUGGCUGUGCGGCUGAUUAGGUAGUUGGCGGGGUAACGGCCCACAAAGCCUACGAUCAGUAACUGGUGUGAGAGCACGAACAGUCACACGGGCACUGAGACACGGGCCCGACUCCUACGGGAGGCAGCAGUAAGGAAUAUUGGUCAAUGGACGAAAGUCUGAACCAGCCAUGCCGCGUGGAGGAUGAAGGUCCUCUGGAUUGUAAACUUCUUUUAUAUGGGACGAAAAAAGGCUUUUCUAAGUCGUCUGACGGUACCAUAUGAAUAAGCACCGGCUAACUCCGUGCCAGCAGCCGCGGUAACAC